rnacentral:rRNA from 1 species
AACGAACGCUGGCGGCAUGCCUAACACAUGCAAGUCGAACGAGACCUUCGGGUCUAGUGGCGCACGGGUGCGUAACGCGUGGGAACCUGCCCUUAGGUUCGGAAUAACUCCCCGAAAGGGGUGCUAAUACCGGAUAAUGUCUUCGGACCAAAGAUUUAUCGCCUUUGGAUGGGCCCGCGUUGGAUUAGCUAGUUGGUAGGGUAAAAGCCUACCAAGGCGACGAUCCAUAGCUGGUCUGAGAGGAUGAUCAGCCACACUGGGACUGAGACACGGCCCAGACUCCUACGGGAGGCAGCAGUGGGGAAUAUUGGACGAUGGGCGAAAGCCUGAUCCAGCAAUGCCGCGUGAGUGAUGAAGGCCUUAGGGUUGUAAAGCUCUUUUACCCGGGAUGAUAAUGACAGUACCGGGAGAAUGAGCUCCGGCUAACUCCGUG